ACUCAAUGCAAAUUGAGUGCUGGAUAGUGGCGGACGGGUGAGUAACGCGUGGGUAACCUACCCAUAAAAUUGGGACAACCCUUGGAAACGAGGGCUAAUACCGAAUAAUCUUUUGAUGCGGCAUCGCAAUAAAAGGAAAGGUGGCCUCUGAAAAUGCUACCGAUUAUGGAUGGACCCGCGUCUGAUUAGCUAGUUGGUGGGGUAAAGGCCUACCAAGGCGACGAUCAGUAGCCGGCCUGAGAGGGUGAACGGCCACACUGGGACUGAGACACGGCCCAGACUCCUACGGGAGGCAGCAGUGGGGAAUCUUCCGCAAUGGACGAAAGUCUGACGGAGCAACGCCGCGUGUAUGAUGAAGGUCUUCGGAUUGUAAAGUACUGUCUUUGGGGAAGAAUGGUGUAUUUGAAAAUAUUGAAUACAUAUGACGGUACCCAAGGAGGAAGCCCCGGCUAACUACGUGCCAGCAGCCGCGGUAAUACGUAGGGGGCAAGCGUUGUCCGGAAUUAUUGGGCGUAAAGGGCGCGUAGGCGGAUAGUUAAGUCCGGUGUGAAAGAUCAGGGCUCAACCCUGAGAGUGCAUCGGAAACUGGUUAUCUUGAGGACAGGAGAGGAAAGUGGAAUUCCACGUGUAGCGGUGAAAUGCGUAGAUAUGUGGAGGAACACCAGUGGCGAAGGCGACUUUCUGGACUGUAACUGACGCUGAGGCGCGAAAGCGUGGGGAGCAAACAGGAUUAGAUACCCUGGUAGUCCACGCUGUAAACGAUGAGUGCUAGGUGUAGGAGGUAUCGACCCCCCCUGUGCCGCAGUUAACACAAUAAGCACUCCGCCUGGGGAGUACGGCCGCAAGGUUGAAAC
rnacentral:rRNA from 1 species